rnacentral:misc_RNA from 1 species
GAUGAAGAACGCAGCGAAAUGCGAUAAGUAAUGUGAAUUGCAGAAUUCAGUGAAUCAUCGAAUCUUUGAACGCACAUUGCGCCCCCUGGUAUUCCGGGGGGCAUGCCUGUCUGAGCGUCAUUUCAACCCUCAUGCCCCUAGGGCGUGGUGUUGGGGAUCGGCCAAAGCCCGCGAGGGACGGCCGGCCCCUAAAUCUAGUGGCGGACCCGUCGUGGCCUCCUCUGCGAAGUAGUGAUAUUCCGCAUCGGAGAGCGAUGAGCCCCUGCCGUUAAACCCCCAACUUUCCAAGGUUGACCUCAGAUCAGGUAGGAAUACCCGCUGAACUUAAGCAUAUCAAUAAGCGGAGGA